GCUCAUGGUGAGGCUGGUUCUUAACUUUUCAGAACUGACACACCAGGAGAUCCGCGAUGUUUGUUCAAGCUGAGUACCUGAGGUUAAAAUUUUUUGCUGCGAGACACAGGCCCAGCCAAAGUCUUGCUCGUACACCACUCUCUGGAAAAGAUUGAUGAGAUGCAGGUCUGCGCCUGGGAU